rnacentral:rRNA from 1 species
UUUUUGAUUUUGCUCAGGACGAACGCUGGCGGCGUGCCUAAUACAUGCAAGUCGAACGAACUCUGGUAUUGAUUGGUGCUUGCAUCAUGAUUUACAUUUGAGUGAGUGGCGAACUGGUGAGUAACACGUGGGAAACCUGCCCAGAAGCGGGGGGAUAACACCUGGAAACAGAUGCUAAUACCGCAUAACAACUUGGACCGCAUGGUCCGAGCUUGAAAGAUGGCUUCGGCUAUCACUUUUGGAUGGUCCCGCGGCGUAUUAGCUAGAUGGUGGGGUAACGGCUCACCAUGGCAAUGAUACGUAGCCGACCUGAGAGGGUAAUCGGCCACAUUGGGACUGAGACACGGCCCAAACUCCUACGGGAGGCAGCAGUAGGGAAUCUUCCACAAUGGACGAAAGUCUGAUGGAGCAACGCCGCGUGAGUGAAGAAGGGUUUCGGCUCGUAAAACUCUGUUGUUAAAGAAGAACAUAUCUGAGAGUAACUGUUCAGGUAUUGACGGUAUUUAACCAGAAAGCCACGGCUAACUACGUGCCAGCAGCCGCGGUAAUACGUAGGUGGCAAGCGUUGUCCGGAUUUAUUGGGCGUAAAGCGAGCGCAGGCGGUUUUUUAAGUCUGAUGUGAAAGCCUUCGGCUCAACCGAAGAAGUGCAUCGGAAACUGGGAAACUUGAGUGCAGAAGAGGACAGUGGAACUCCAUGUGUAGCGGUGAAAUGCGUAGAUAUAUGGAAGAACACCAGUGGC